UACGGAGGGAGCUAGCGUUGUUCGGAAUUACUGGGCGUAAAGCGCGCGUAGGCGGCGUUUCAAGUCAGAGGUGAAAGCCCGGGGCUCAACCCCGGAAUAGCCUUUGAAACUGGAGUGCUAGAAUCACGGAGAGGUGGGUGGAAUUCCGAGUGUAGAGGUGAAAUUCGUAGAUAUUCGGAAGAACACCAGUGGCGAAGGCGGCCCACUGGACGUGUAUUGACGCUGAGGUGCGAAAGCGUGGGGAGCAAACAGG
rnacentral:rRNA from 1 species